rnacentral:rRNA from 1 species
CCCCCCACACUGGUACUGAGACACGGACCAGACUCCUACGGGAGGCAGCAGUGAGGAAUAUUGGUCAAUGGACGCAAGUCUGAACCAGCCAUGCCGCGUGCAGGAUGAAGGUGCUAUGCAUUGUAAACUGCUUUUGUACGAGGGUAAAUUCAGAUACGUGUAUCUGAUUGAAAGUAUCGUACGAAUAAGGAUCGGCUAACUCCGUGCCAGCAGCCGCGGUAAUACGGAGGAUCCAAGCGUUAUCCGGAUUUAUUGGGUUUAAAGGGUGCGUAGGCGGUUUGAUAAGUUAGAGGUGAAAUACCGGGGCUUAACACCGGAACUGCCUCUAAUACUGUUGAACUAGAGAGUAGUUGCGGUAGGCGGAAUGUAUGGUGUAGCGGUGAAAUGCUUAGAGAUCAUACAGAACACCGAUUGCGAAGGCAGCUUACCAAACUAUAUCUGACGUUGAGGCACGAAAGCGUGGGGAGCAAACAGGAUUAGAUACCCUGGUAGUCCACGCAGUAAACGAUGAUAACUCGUUGUCGGCGAUACACAGUCGGUGACUAAGCGAAAGCGAUAAGUUAUCCACCUGGGGAGUACGUUCGCAAGAAUGAAACUCAAAGGAAUUGACGGGGGCCCGCACAAGCGGAGGAACAUGUGGUUUAAUUCGAUGAUACGCGAGGAACCUUACCCGGGCUUGAAAGUUAGUGACGGAUCCUGAAAGGGGUCUUCUCUUCGGAGCGCGAAACUAGGUGCUGCAUGGUUGUCGUCAGCUCGUGCCGUGAGGUGUCGGGUUAAGUCCCAUAACGAGCGCAACCCCUACCGUUAGUUGCCAUCAGGUCAAGCUGGGCACUCUAGCGGGACUGCCGGUGUAAGCCGAGAGGAAGGUGGGGAUGACGUCAAAUCAGCACGGCCCUUACGUCCGGGGCGACACACGUGUUACAAUGGUCGGUACAGAGGGUAGCUACCUGGUGACAGGAUGCCAAUCUCGAAAGCCGAUCUCAGUUCGGAUUGGAGGCUGAAACUCGCCUCCAUGAAGUUGGAUUCGCUAGUAAUCGCGCAUCAGCCAUGGCGCGGUGAAUACGUUCCCGGGCCUUGUACACACCGCCCGUCAAGCCAUGGGAGUUGGGGGUGCCUGAAGUACGUGACCGCAAGGAGCGUCCUAGGGCAAAACCGAUGACUGGGGCUAAGUCGUAACAAGGUAGCCGUACCGGAAGGUGCGGCUG